UACAGAGGGGGCAAGCGUUAUUCGGAAUUAUUGGGCGUAAAGGGCGCGUAGGCGGCCUGACAAGUGGAAGGUGAAAUCCCUCGGCUUAACCGAGGAACUGCCCUCCAAACUGUUUGGCUUGAGUCCGGGAGAGGUGAGUGGAAUUCCCAGUGUAGCGGUGAAAUGCGUAGAGAUCGGGAAGAACAUCGGUGGCGAAGGCGGCCUGCUGGGCUGUUGCUGACGCUGAGGCGCGACAGCGUGGGGAGCAAACAGG
rnacentral:rRNA from 1 species